AACGAACGCUGGCGGCAUGCCUAACACAUGCAAGUCGAACGAGACCUUCGGGUCUAGUGGCGCACGGGUGCGUAACGCGUGGGAACCUGCCCUUAGGUUCGGAAUAACUCCCCGAAAGGGGUGCUAAUACCGGAUAAUGUCUUCGGACCAAAGAUUUAUCGCCUUUGGAUGGGCCCGCGUUGGAUUAGCUAGUUGGUAGGGUAAAAGCCUACCAAGGCGACGAUCCAUAGCUGGUCUGAGAGGAUGAUCAGCCACACUGGGACUGAGACACGGCCCAGACUCCUACGGGGAGGCAGCAGUGGGGAAUAUUGGACAAUGGGCGAAAGCCUGAUCCAGCAAUGCCGCGUGAGUGAUGAAGGCCUUAGGGUUGUAAAGCUCUUUUACCCGGGAUGAUAAUGACAGUACCGGGAGAAUAAGCUCCGGCUAACUCCGUG
rnacentral:rRNA from 1 species